rnacentral:lncRNA from 1 species
UUUUUUUUUUUUUUUUUUUUUGUUAAUACAAGGCAAAUUUACAAUUUUUUUUCCCUACAGCGUCAUGAGUCAUAAGUCAUACACCUGAAAUUAAAUUAAUUUUCCCCUAAUAUAAUUAAUUACUAAAAGCGUACAAUUACUAUAAGUCCCAGCAGCGACUUCUGAGUUUGGAACCCGAACAUUGGUAUAACAUUGCCUGCUACCCUUGGACGGACUGCAACUAAAUUCUACUUUCUACUUCUCUCAGGCAUUUCAGGAUGAAAUCUGUUCGGCCCUUUGUGUUGAAACCUCAUCAUCAGGACACUAGAAUGCAGAGUUUGUGGACCUUGCUUAUCUUGGCUGGAAUCUCCAGUUCCACUCGGACUUCCUGACCUGAAACUUAUUUUGCAAUUCGAAGCUUAUAAUGGGAAAAAAUGCUCAUCUACCAGAGCAGAAUGUUAUUUCUUGUACAUGGAAGGAAAAAGCCAAAGGUAUAGUAAUUAGGAGUAGCUAGCCACCCUUCAGGAAGAGGCUGGCCACUGAACAACGAGAGACCGGAACAGCAGCAAUCGGUGAAAUGUAAGUCCCUACCAGUACUUGACUGCCCGCAAGGCGAUCAAGAAAAACUCUGGUUAACAUCUCUUUAUUCAGCUCUUUCACUAAAAAAUGAAUACUGAUCAUGAACAAGCAAAUGAUGAAUAAUUACAUUUAUCCUAGAUCAAUGGCAGAGGCAUAUAACAUAAUGAAAUCUCAUGCUGGCUGGCUGGCUUCUUGGCAACUAGAAUUUGUUGAAAAGAUAUUGCCAAAAAGCACAGAUAGUUGCUACUUACGGCUUCUUCACCCGAAGGCUUGGAGUGCUCAAUGUCCUGCUGGAUCGUAUUCCUCUUUCUUUUCGCGGAUGAGCACGAAAGCACAUUUGCAUGUGAAAAAAAGUAGCAGCCCGCUGAGAGAGAGGAGCAUAAUGAACUCUACCACAAGUGCUGAUCCCAGGGCUGCAGUGCCACGCACAUCAGAGCCAAUAGCAGUUCAACAACUAUUUACUCCGGUAACAAAUCUCUACAAAUGCUAAAUAUCUGGCUACUGCAGGUUAUUGCACACUUCAAACGAAUUGUGCAGGCAAUAAGAGAUUGGAGCUUACCAUGAGCUAACAGCGAACUCAUUGGCGGUCUUCUUAUUAGACUUAUUGUAGCCUCAGCAAAUAAUGGCAUUGACAUCAUUUGCUCGCAAUUCGGGCAACACCCAUAGUUUCCCAUAUCAUUUACUCUCACAGUCAGAACAUCACCAUGUUUGCCACCCUGCAGAAGUUGUCAGUUAAUCCCAAAUAGAAUACCAACUGCAUGAGAAAAUCCUAGUUUUCCAAUGAUGCUUACAUGAUACAUCAAUUGUUCAAUUAUACUGUUGCAGUCAUUAAUAGUCCCUCGGACUCUAAUGCCUUUUGCUUUCACCAUAAAAUGUUUAGAGAUGGUAACAAAUGUCAGAAGGGGCUGCCACUGGUAACUUGUCUUUAGCUUCAGUUCAGUCGUGGCUACAAGCUCAGCAGGAAGACUUGUAGAUAGAACUCCAGAACUGACUUCAAAAGAGAUGAUGACUAAAAAGUGAGACCUGUUACCUGAAAAUCAGCCAAGUAGAAAAUCAGGCACCAAUAUCCUGUCUGAUAAGCUUUUGGACUCUCAAAGGUAAGUCUUCUACAUCGUCUGAUGAUCAAGUUUGUUUUUCCAGAAUUUUCCAUAUAAACCGAAUGCCCUCUGCGUUUCCAGAGUAAUCAGCACUUUAUAGGUAACUAACGGUACAAAUUAGAGACUAGCAAGAACCGAGCAUUUUAGUGCAAUUCCAACAACAAAUAAAACUUGAUGUUAAUGAGGUAAUGUCUAUUAGAGCUGGCAAGCUGUUAUCCAAGAAAGCCAGAAAAAAUGUGUUUUGACAUUGCACAUAUAUGCAUCAUUUCAUACACAAAAUCAGCUUAGCUGUCAUAAUUUGAUCUUACAUGUUGCGUAUACUUCUAUACUGCAUAAGCUGUCUUGUAAAUGAUCUUACUUAUACUGUCAAGUUUUGCAAUAUUGAAAAUUUUUUAUUUUUAAAUGCUAGAGUCUGUCUAUGAAGCGACUAAAUUCAAUGCGUUUGUACUGUCUUGCAUACCAGGGAAAUUUGGAAGAUCUGGAUCCCCAAUACUGAAGUCAAAUUUGUCUUUCUUUCUAUCAAAAAUAAGUACAUCUCCCGAAUCUUCAAGGAAAAUAAAUGCAGGGGCAUUGAUAAAUGGAUGGUCAUUAAUAGGUUCCACAAAUACAGGAACUUUAACACUGUUCUUCCCAUUUCUGUUCAUGGUAGAGACUUGGAUUGCAUCAUCACCGCAAAAGUUCUCAUCCCUGCUUCAAGGUAACAAACAGCUCAUCUUAAUGCAGCACACUUAAUGAUGUUUAACCACAAAGAGUCAUGCUGUGCAUUUUUUUCCCUUUUUACUUUGUGGGGAGAAGGUGAGAUGAAGAAAGAGAGAGUACUCUCACUUGAUAAUUCUGAUGGAUGCUUAAAAGAAAGUUUGCUGCUUUGCAGAGGCUUAAUAAAAGACAGACGAACUUAUGUUGCUACAAAUUCAUUCCCACAAGGCCUACAUGACACAUCAUGCAUUUCGAGAAGGAAAAUUAAGUGAGGUGUCUGUCUUACCCAAAGUACCGGAUUGCUUGAAGGGCAGAGUUAAUUACAUCCACACGACCAGCCAAAAUCAACUCUUUGGCCUUCUGAUGAUCUAUUUUUACUGAUAAUUCACCCCAGAGCGGCUGCCAAAAUUGCAUUAGCAUUGGAGACAGGAAGACAGUUCCAUACUGUGCAUUAAGAAUAACCGUGAUGUUCUCAUCCAAAUCUGAGUAUGCAAUCUCAAAUCCAGAGAAACCACUGCACACAGAGCAGGCAAGAAUUUUGAUGUCUUUUGAGAGCAGUAGUUUAAAAGUUCUAAGAUAUGUUCUUCAUUUUUUCAAAGCUAAAUCUACUAUAAAGAAAGGCAACAUACCCAAAUCUGGGACUAAUUAGAUCCUCCGUUCCGUGCAAUUGACUUGGAAAGGAGACAAACUGAGGUGGAAUACUAAGGAUAUCUAUAUUGACAGAACCAGAAGCUACGUUGCCAUUUACAUCACAGAUGGUAUACACGAAAGAAUCAUUUCCAUUAAAUCCUUUGUAAGGUGUGUAUCUGAAAAGACCUCCAUACUGCAGAAGGGAACCAUGAUCUGGCUGUGACAAGUAUCAUUUACAACAGUAAGUCCUCCAAACAGAAAAGUGCUCAAUUGCCUUAACAAGUACCCAAGGUGUGGUCUUACAUAUGCUCACUCUGUGCGAGUGAAACACUUCUCGACAUGACAAUGUGAAUGGCCAAAAGCUAGUUGAACAAAUAGGAAUCAUGUAUUCUCUUUUAUUUUAAAAGGUAGAACCCAAAAUUAAGAUGGACAGUCACUCACACAAACAUAACGUUAUAGUUUAUGCAGGUCAUGAUAUGUUAUGGACACGAGGUUUCAUCCAACAUAAUUACGCAGCUUACCCUCGAAUAUUCUUUUAUACUAGCAUUGCCACCUGCAAAGUAAUCAUUGUCUAGAGCAUCAACUGCAGUUGACUCAUCCUCCCAGACAGGGACUGUAUCAUUUAAAACUUUAGGAAAAUAUUCACCUGAAAAAAAAAAAAAGAAUAAAUCAGUUAGAUGGAGAAUAUAGAAGUAUACAAAAAGAAUGCAACAAGCCCUUUAGAGAUGGAAGACACCAUGAGAUCAUGACCAGCACCAAAAGAUAUCAAGCACCACAUUGAUAUUUCGAAUGAGGACAGUAAUUGUUGUCACCUGUAAUUACUAAAACCAAAGAAAGUGUUCUUCCAAAUAUAAACCAAACAUCUACAGACAUACUUGUAUAAACAUUCACGCCAAUUGGACAUGGCGUGAAAUGCUGUCCAUCAAAUGAAGCGCAUAUCUCAUAGGUGCCAACGUCCUUAGCCAAGAAACUACCAGUAUAAGUUCCGUCUUUGUUGUCAACAAACAUCAUUGUCGAAAAGCCAGAUCUAUUGACUGAAGCAACCUCAAGUUUCAAUUUUGACUGCUCUGACAGAACUGGAUUGGAGUAUGAAUCCAGGAGCUGUAUAACUACUUCACUUUUUGCAAGCUUCGGUACUUUUGAAGCAAACUCCACAACCCCUGAAAGGGAUAGAUUCACCUUCCCUGGAGAACAGAUGAAUCAGUAUGCCACACGCAUUUUGAAUUAAAUAUCAAAUGCAUCAAAGCAGAAAAGGUAGAAAAAAUGCCAUCUGAAACACAGUAAGAGAUAUUCACCUGAAAUAUAUGGGGGAAAAAACCCACGUUAACAACAUUUAUAUAAAGCAAGAAUUUAAAAGUUCUGUUUCAAAUUAUAAUGAGUACUUUUACAUAUUAAGUAGUAAAUGCCAAACUUCCCAAAAUCUAAACUGACUGGAUAUACAUUACAAGGCAUGAAUCACUAAAUACUUUUUGCAUUUUCUAUUGCUUAGACUAUGUUUGCACAUUCAGGGGGUUAAGACAUUACUUAAUCACCCCAAAUUAAUAUAUACAGUACUUUACAAUGUACCUGCACUUACUACCUUUCUGAAGGGAUUGCCACCAUUUAGUGGAACAUUUCCACAAAAGAUAGAGAUUUCAUACGUCCCACUCUUUUCAGGUACAAAAGCGACCUCAAAGUUACUUGCGCUGAACCUUGUGUUCUCGGUAGACUACAUCCACAGCUAACAAUUAUCACUGUCUUCAAUGUGGUACAUAUAGCAAAAAAUUUUAAAAUGAAAACCUGAAUUUUACCUUAUUUUUUGCACCAUCAGUUGAAGGAGUAAGUUUGUCAAGUGUUCCAGCAAAAGUACCUGUUAUAGCAGUCAAGCUCAUCUAUCAAAGUGACAACAAGAUGGUGUAUAUUGAAGCAUAAACUAGAUGCUCAUUCUCAUACCCAUUUCGGCUUUCUUUGGACGUAUCCUUGGUCGUAACUGUUUUAAACUGGAUUCAUGCAGAAUUUUUACUUGCAGCAUAUCUAAUUCAGCUGGAGAAGGAUAUAAAUAGGCAUCUCUCAAGAACACAGAAAAAGUUGAAACUUCUCCAGCAAAAGAGUGAUUUAAACCAGUUCCAUUGACAACGCUGUUUGUCCCAUCACAAUAGCCUGCUCAGUUUCAGAAGUUACAAGAAUAGGAGUUACAGGUUCAGAGCGGAACAAGCUAGCUACUCUUAUUUAAACAAGAUGAGGUAAUAUAAUGACAAAACUUUUUCCUAGCAGAAACAGAGAAAACACGUCUUUUACAUAAAUAUAAGAGUCCAUCUAAACGUAAAGAUACUAAAUGAAAGCGCUUUUAUAACAACCUUUCCAUAGUGCAGGUAUGAGAUCAUAUAUACACAUACAUUUGAUGUCUAUAACAAGCAAGCCUCCAAGUCUCUAGUAUAUUGGGUACGUUGAGGGUAUGUGUGGGUGUGUCUGUGCAAAACCAGGGAAGGGGGAGCAAAUGUUACGGCAAAAUGGCUUUGGAGUCCAACAGCUGACAUCAUGAAGUAAUUUCCAAAAAGGUUCUUGAAAUUUUUAGAUAAUCUUAAUGACACAAGCAUUUUUGUGCCUUCACAGAAAACAUAACCUGCCAAUUUCCAUGUUCUAUUUCAAGUUUCCUUUUUACUAUUUUAAUCCUAUCUUGAAAACACCCUUGAAUCUCUACAGAUUUCCUUCUACUGUUAGUUGCAGUAGUUGACUUCUGCAUGUGCAAUCUCUGGCAAACUUCCACAGCCAUACGUGUAAAAAUAUCACCAGCUAACAGAAAAAUAUCAGGCCCCAUUCAAUCAAUUUGGAAAAGUAGAUUUCAUAUCCAUGUUUGUAUCUACAACAUAAGGUACUUAAUAAAAGCCAAAGAGUCUAGAUCAAUACCUACAUAGACUUUGAAGUCAUAUGGCACGUUAGAGAUGAGAGUGUUGUGCUUAUCAGAGAUCAUGAGCAUGAAGUUCCCAGGCUCAACUAGACUGAAAGAAAAUGACUGAAUACCCAGCCCAACAUCUUCGAAAACCAGAUCCGACACUGGCAUAGAUAAGUUUGUCCCCUUCUGCACAACUUCAACAUCAAAUGCAUACGAUCCAGGGACAAGAUUUCCAUAAGAAUCAUGCUGGUGUAUAAAAGCUUCCAUCAUUGAGAACAGUUGGAAGGCUUUUGUUUCAAUACGCCAGCGUACUAAACAAUUAGCAACAUCUAAAGUUCCUGUACAGAACAUUCAGAAGGGGUAUAAACUACAGAGAACAAAGCAAAGAUCUACACAUGAUGCAGUACAACUUUGAGACGAUAUAAAGUAGAAUCAGCAGCAUUUCAUUAGUUCAAAUGUCUUAAGGUGUACCAUCCAACUGUUAUUAAGAUGCGAAGUUUUUGGUACUUUGUAUAUUUAGAUGAGUGGCUGGGACCCAAGAAAACACAGCAGUGACAUGGACUUCCACAAGAACAAUGCAUUUAAAUAUGAAGAGCAAGUGCCUCUUGGAGUAAUGUGAAAGGCAGAAUGCAAUGCCAUAAUCUAAUAUUAGAAGAGUUACACGCCCAAAACGGAAGGAAGAGAUUAGAGAAUAACUGCAACACCAGUGAAUGAUGCAUUUGACCAGGCAGGAGAUUUAGCUAAUUCCAUUAUUUACUUAAUAAAAUGAUGAAGUUUGAAAUAAAUAAUCGCUACCUCUUUUAACCCCUAUUUCACAUGCACACUCAAUGGGCCUUUAAAUCUUAAGUUUCAUACCGCCCCCCGCCCCCCCCCCUCUCCUCAUCUGAUAAAAAUCACCAAUAAACUUCUGCAGGCAAAUACAGCACAGGCAGAGAAUCCAAAUGAUGAAUUGUUAAAUAAGAUGCAGUUGUUGGAGGAGCAGGAUGGAAAGGCAGAGGUACGUAUUUGCCUUUUCAGGACUCGCAAACCACAUCAUAAGUUAAUGCUUAGGAAAUCACCUGUUUUCACCUUGAAUGGCAAUGGGGAGCCAGUCAACGUUUGAUUUUUCUCUCGAACAUGAAGUAAGAGGUUCCCAGAUGAGGCCACAACAAAUUCAAUACUGAGAUAUCCUAACUGAUUCCACCCCUUGUCAGUAAUGUUAAGCACGUCUGCAGCAGAACCAUCCAGACUAGUUGCUGACAACCAAAAACUAUAGGACUCUGAUCCUUUACUGAUUGAAGAGACAUUAUUCCCAAAUGCAUCUUUAGGGAGUAUCAAAAUUGUAGCUUUUGUUCCAGCGACAAACUCGUUUGCUCCAUCCAUCCACAAGACAAUACCAGCAGCUAAAUACAUUUUUCCUUCACAUUCAUAGCAGUAUGUAAGCGGUCAUCAUUGUACAAAUUCAUUGAUGAUAAAACUGGCAGCGUUAAACUGAAACAAUAUGUGCCCGCAGAACUGAUAUUAAUUACAUUCUUGUACUUAAAAAGUACUAGCAUGAUUGAGAUAUAGAAAGUCAGUUUUAUCCUGCUAUACAAACAUUGUUGAUUCUCUAGAUCUAGAGCCAACAUAUCUCAUAAUACGAGAUGAUCGUUGAAAGAAAAGUAACAGAAGAGCAAAUGAGAGUCAUGAUUACAUUGUACGUAUGGUCAAAACGCUGCUAGCCCUCAUUGUACAAUUGAAAGUUCAUCCAGGACAGGACGAUUGCACAUGUAAGAUAGCAACUUGUCAAGAAAAACAAGUUUCCCUAAACUGUGAUAAACGUCACUAAAAGGAAAACAACUGAACGUUACAAAUGAGGACAUUCUCACUGCAUCCAGUGACUGGAUUAUCAUACAAUGAAAUAAAAGAUGCAAAACAAACCUGGAGUGACUCGGAAAUGAAGGGAAGAGUCCAAGACAUUGAAAUUUUCUUCGGUGAUCAGCACAUUGAACAAUCCAACCAUAAUAGGGAUGAAAGAUAUCCUCCAGUUGUUAACAUCAACAUCAAACUGUAAAGAAACCCCAGAAAUGUAGGAGCUAUUACCCAUCUUAUCGUUGACUGUGAUGUUAGGAUUAAAGGGGUACUUGUACUUUCCACUCUCAAAAUUUCCUAGAACUUUGACCUUUAUAGUUGCUAUAUCCCCUGCCACAAAUGUGUCAUUGCCAUCAAACCAACUGAAAGCAAAAGUGGGCAUUGAUGGACUCUCUGCAACAAAUACAAAAAUGAUUCAAUAAAUAAGUAAAACAAAAUCCACCUCCUAGAAUUGAUGUAGAAAUGCCGGCAUUACCUGAUUUUGUGACUAGAAGACUAAAAGAUGGAAACAGAGAGGCAGUGAGGAAGGAAAUGAUAAGUAUGAUUUUAGUAUAUAAAAGCAUUCUUGAGUGUCCACGUACGAGAUUACAGUGAAUUGCAGAAAUGAUUUGACUUCAAAAAAAUUUUGGUGGGGAAGAAAGAUCUGGUAUAGGGCGGGAAAAGUUCAAGUUGAUGAAUAGCGGUUAUGAUAUCCGUGUGGAAGUCUGGGUUAUGGUUGGUUAUUGACAGUUACUUGAACUCAUUUUCUGUCGCAAAUAUUUUUUAUUUAUUGGCAGUGUGGUAAAAGAAAACAAAGAUCAAUUGUAUUUUCAGAUUUUUCUUGCAAUAGCUAUUACUAAUAUAAAGAUCAUUCUUUCGAUAGCAUUUUUGUUCAAUCAUGAAUAUUAGAUGUGUCAAAAUGAAGGACAAGGGGCACAAACGGUUGCAGGUCAAUCGUUUGUGGCGGUUUGUGCAUUUUCCAACAGCGCGUAACAUUUUUUGCACGUCGCGUAACUUUCUUUACACACGGAGUAACUUUAGAACAAAUUUUUGUGGACCCCACACAUGGCGUGAAAAUCGAGUUACAUGUUGUAAUUUGAGCCGCACAAAUUUCUGAGGCCACAUCGUGACCGUGAACCUUCAGGAACGGUUGUCAAAAUGAGUGACAACCGUUCCUGCCCCAUUUCCCAAAAUGAGUGAUUCGGGUGGAUUUGAACGGGUCAUAAUUUGAUAAUGGGUAUAAUUAGGUCAACCCACGUAUACGCAUUUAAUAUAUGGGUACGAGUAUAUCCAAUAUCUAUUUAUGAGUCACUUAAAAUUCUAUUUUUUUUUAGCAUAUUGUUUGACAAGAAAUAACGAUAUCUUAUUGUUAUUUGAUUGAUAAGAAAUUGAAAUUUAUUUUCUUAACACUCACUAAAAAUUGAAUUUAAAUAUAUAAUUAUUUUAAAUGAGUAUAAACGGAUGAACCGAAUCAACCCAUUAUCAAUCAAUUAGAUGAGUUUAAUUGAGUACCAAUUUGAACCCAUUCAAAAUUAAUGGAUAGGUUUGGACAGGUUAUUGGUGGACGAGUUUGAACGGAUCAACAUAAUUGAAUUGUAAUUAACACAUCUAAUAAACAGGAUCUGAGAACAAGAAUGACUAAGGAUGAUAAUCUUUCCAGGGUCCAAGCCAUGAUAAAGGCAAAUAUUUUGUAAGAAAGAAUAUUGAAGUUAACCAUGAUUCACGUAGGAUACUGUUGGAGCAUCGAACGGACAAGUACUUUUCAUAUUAUGAAACAAUUGAACGUUUGCACAAUCAAGUGUACAAAAGUAAAGAUAUAGUGAAUAAUAGAUUUGCAGUUUGGUAGACUUUUACUAGAAUAGAUGUAAAAGAUGCAUGUAAAAUUUUCAUGUCGAGUGGUCUGCGCUUUUUCGAUUCUAAUAUCUCAUCGCCUACAUUUACAUCAAAUUUUGAUCACGGGGUUGCAAACUAGUUAUGUUUGAAAACCACAUGUUAGACAUACGUAUCGAUUACCUUUUUUUUUUUUUUGGGGUAAAAAAAGAAGACUGUUGUGUUUGAUAACCAUGUUAGAUAUAGGCAUCGGUUACCUCUUUUGUUUUUUUUUUUUUGGGUAAAAAAAGAAGACUUGAAUAAUAAUAAUACCGCUUCAUAGCACAUUGCUUUUAUCUAAAUUCGUAUAAUUUUAUCAUUUUAAACUGAUUAGCAAUAAAACGUUUCCUGCAACAAACAUUCCCUUUAGGACUUUCGGUCUUGCCGCCGACGACCUGCCAACAUGCAGCAGAAUUUCCAAAUCCAGUACUUCGUAAUUUUCACCGCACUUAACUUCACAGGAUUAUUACAAUUCAACUCAAUUCAACAUUGAUAACAAUUUCCAUGCAGUGGCUGAAGAAAUCUUUUAGCAAGGCAUGAAACUCCAUCACAGCACAAAGGAAUUUUAAGUGUGCCGUUUUUGUUGUCUCUGUUGCUUGGUUGAGGUGGAUGCUAGAAAACAAGAAUGGGAUUAAAGAAAAAAGAAAACAUUGCCGCAUGUUCAGAAUUUCUAAUUCAACAAUAAGGUAACAACAGAAAAGCUAACUGAUUGUCUCCAAAACAUGAAGUAUGACAAAAUUGUCUCGCAAAAAUUGCCAGUUCGGCUAUAGAUAGCACCACCAAAACAAGGAGACACACCCCUUCAAACUCUAAAGCCUCUGCUAUUUCUUCUUCCCCUAGCUCUCUCAAAUUUCCUACCCGUGGACCUAACAUAUGGUUUGGUGUGGCUAUGAGGCACACCGGGAGCUGGGCCAAAAUGUUUCACGGCCUCGCGUGCAUUCUUUGGGCCUCUAAGUAAAACCUGCAACAACAAGAACAGUGACUUGUUUGAUGUAUUCAUUUCGCUUAAAAGAAGGAUAUCUAUCAGAGAUUGAACUUUCUCUAAGCAAACUAACUACAGCUCUGUCUGAAAAUAUUCUCCACAGUGUUGGCAAAGUUAGAACCCCAGUGUUUUAACUAAAUUCAAAUGGAAAAAGGUAUCAAAUGGAUGCUGACCACUAAGCCACACACCCUGUGUCAUAGAUAUCAUCGGCAAAUAGCAAAUCAUGGCCUCGAAUAGUUUUCAGAGACGGGCACAACAGACAAAGUGCCUUGUUUGGGGGACAAGCAUGCUCCUCAGAUGAAUCUAUCGUAUUCUUUGUCCUUAGUUUUGUCAAACUGUUUGGCUUUCCUAAGGACUGGCUACUUGGAAAAAAACCAGACAGAAAACAGAGACAUGAAAAUGAACCAUGGAACAGACUCAACUAGAGGCUUUUGGGAAUGUAAUUUUAGAUGCAUACCGUGUUCUGACCAAGAGGAGCCCUCAGGGCCAACUGAUCAAAGGUCAAGCACUCUCCUCCAGCCUUCUCAAUUCUUGCUCUGGCCCUCUCUGUGAACCUCAAAGCAGCCACCUUCAAAGUUGGCACUUCGUACGCUCUAGUAUCAUUAGUUACUGUUCCAACAAGCACUGCAAUUUUGUCCUCCUAGAUAUAAAACAAGAUGAAUGCAAUUAGCUUGAAUAGUUUAUAUGACAUGCUAUGCAGUUAAAUUAAAACUAUUUAUAUGACAUGCAACUUAAUUUCUUCUAUUCAAAGCACUUUUUGCUUCCCCUAUCCCAUGAAUCUGCACAACUUCACUUGAUAUUCAAGCUAAUUAUCAGUGGCAGCAAUAUUAGUUUUGGGCUAUUAAAAGCUAUAUUAAGUUUUGGGAUGUUAAAGAACAUCUUAAAGUAAUCACUUAUAUUAGCUACACAGAACAAAAGGAAAACAAAUCAAGGCAAAAAAUAAAAAAAGGCUGAACUUUGUAGCAAAACCCAUUUUGGAUAUCACUAACAACUAGCUCAAAUGGACAUCAAUGAGAAGCAGAAGUCAAGGUCAAUCAAACGAAUCCCCAAGUAAAACUCCAGGAACUAAGCAAAGUACCUUUCCUUCCAUGAACUUGACAAGGCUGGAGAGUGACAGAGGAGGCUUGUUGGUCUUACUCAUGAACAACCUCUUCAGCAGUACAGCAUUGAACCUGCUCCCUGUCCUCCUCACCAAAAAUCGGUACAACUACAACGAACACGAAGCAUUCUAUAUGAAUUCAAAUACCUCUAUUCCCACCAAACUUGUACAUAUAUUACAUCAUCAACAAAAAAAAAAGAGAAAGGAAAAACGUAAUCUUUAUGAUUAUGCGCUUGACUAAAGCUGAAUGAAAUUCUUCGGAGCAAUACUUACUAACCAGCCAAAAUUCAUGUGUUUGCAAAUCUAAGCUAGACAAAUGGAUUUCAUUCACGAACUAUCAGCAAUCCUUAUACUUUAUUUCUGAUUACAAAUAUGAAUACAAAUAAAAUUCUUCACAGCAAUGGUUUACUUGACAAAUUCAUGUGCUCAUACAUAACGUAGUAUAAAAACAGAUUUUUCUUUAACAAACACACGAAUAUCAGACAGAGACUUAAAAAAAAAAAAAAAAAAAAAAAAAGCCAAAGUAGGCACCUUGACUAGGAGCUUGAGGUAGAUGUCAUGAGAUUUGGGGGCGGUACGCUUAGUCUUCUUAACUUUGCCGCCGGCUUUCAAAUCAAUACCCUGAAAAAUACCAAAAUUAUACACCACAGAAUUGGAUAUUAGGCUGAAAUCUUCGUCCCAGCGCAACUAAGCAGAGGGAGAGAAACGUAGAAAUUACCAUUUCUUCUUUUUCGAAGUCUUGGCGAAGACGAGAUUUCUGUCGGAGGCCGCGGGCUUGGCUGCUAAUGGAGUACUGGACGGCUGCUCCUCUAUAGUUUUGGAGGUUUUCUUAUUAGGGUAGAAAUGGGAUAGGGUUUUUGCCUGGGGAAUUGGCUCCCGUGACAAGCUGGUGAUGCUGUUUAUUACAGACCACUUGGAUCUCGAUCGUAGAAGGGCCAAGUCCGGUCAAUAAAGUAAUUUGGCUUUUCCUUUUUACUCAAGUAUUUGCAUUAAUUAUCACUGUGAAGGGGUUUUACUAAUAUUUUUUAUUUUCUUCUUAAUUUCCAAAGAGAAAUUACACAUUUUCUUUUUUAUUUCAGUGUAUCGAUUUUACGCCUAGCCUUUUUCACCUUUUUUUUUUUGUUUUUUAUACCUAUACGAUGAAUACCAUCAAUGUCUAUUGAAGUUACAGCAAUGAAGGCAACAAUAAAUACGGAAGCUGAGAUCAAUAUAAAGUAGGGAUCAUCAAAACACUAAACCAGCCCCGCUGAUAGUUAGAUUGGUUCGAAGUAAGUCCUGUGAUUGACUUCGACGUGCUAUCUCAUUGUACAUUUUUUGACCAAGAUUCUACACAAUCUUAGGGGAUCCAAUUGAAAAUCAGAUCGGACUGACCGGUUGAAUUGCGAACUGGCCAUACCUCCGAUCUAAUUCAAUUAAAAAAAUCAAAAAAUUAAUUGAACCGGUCAAGAUCGGUUGAAUCGGUAAAAAUCGGGAGGUUCAAUUGAUUUUUAUGAAGUAUUUAUUUUCUAAAAUAAAUAUUUUAGUUUUAUUCAAAAUUCUUAAUACUAAAAUGAAUAAAAAAUUAUUAAAGCUUUGAACUGGAGUCAAACCAGUUGACCGAUCAAAUCGUGAACCGAAAUGUUCACUCUUUGGUUCGAGUUUUAAAACAUUGAGGGGAUCGCCCUCCGUGUGCUACAUCGCUAUGUGUUUUUGAAAUAAGGCUCUACAUAGUUUUAGGGGGUUAGUUUGACCGAAAUGUUGCCCCUAAGUGAAAAAAAAAAAUCAAAACACUAUACAAAAAAAAAAAUCAAAACACUAAACCACCCAAUAUAAAGACAAUUUUUCAUGCGGGUUAUGCAAUUAUAGAAGCAACCCCAUUGGCUAUGACCAAAAAAUGAGAGGAAUUUGAAAUCUCGAUAGUUCUUUGUUCAAAAUCGUAUCGGUUUUUAUUAAUAAAAAAAAAAUCUCGUAAUAAAAGAAACAUAGGAGUUUGUUACUAGGUAUUUGACCAAAUAGGAUCGUCCAUUCCUAUAGAACAUAUCACUAAAAUAGCUCUAGAAGGGAUAAAACUAGGUGAAUCGAAAAGGAUUUAAGUUAUAUAAUUAUAUUUGUUAAUUUAAAUUUUUUUAUAAGAAAAGCUUGUAUGCAAAAUAUGUGAAGAUUUUGGCUGUUUUUUAUUUGAUUGAAUCUUAUAUACUCCAUCCCGCAGUCUCUCACGACCCUGAAGAAUCCUGCCAUGUCACUCAUGUUUGCCAUUUCUUCUGCUCUUCAAAACGCACCGUAUCGAGCAAUCUCCAUAAAAAACAGCCAAAAUCUUCACAAAUUUUGCAUACAAGCUUUUCUUGUAAAAAAAUUUAAAUUAACAAAUAUAAUUAUACAACUUAAACCCUUUUCACUUCACCUAGUUUUAUCCCUUCUAGGGCUAUUUUAGUGAUAUGUUCUAUAGGAAUGGACGAUCCUAUUUGGUCAAAUACCUAGUAACAAACUCCUAUGUUUCUUUUAUUACGGGAUUUUUUUUUAUUAAUAAAAACCGGUACGAUCUUGAACAAAGAACUAUCGAGAUUUCAAAUUCCUACUGUCAAUGUAUACACUAUCACGAUGGGAUGGAUGACAUGUAUUCAAAUUUUACACAUGUAUCAUAUAUCUAAUGAUGAUAAUAUAUACACUAAUAUUGUAUAUAAGAUUAAUCUUUUUUAUUUUGGGCAGAAUUGUUGUAGUUAAAAAUCAAGAGGGCCGGAUUGCGGUUAAAUCCCAUUUUUCUGCCUAAACAAAAUAACCAAUGACACUUCGUGCUAAUUUAGCUAGCCUUCGUCUUUAGUGUCAACUUUUUUUAACCAUUUGGCCGUGAAGAAAAUAACAAUGCAUGCAUCUUGUGCAUCAAAUUAUUCUCAAGUCAAUCAAUCCUACCCCCAUGCUAACGUCCAGCUAAAAUGACAAUUGAAGAGAAUCCUUUUCCUGGACAAAACAUCAAAGUUAUCUGUGUAGCAACAGUUCAGUAUAGUAUCUGAAUUUGGCUUGUUUUUUAAGGAUCAUCAGUUCAUGAAUUUCCAAUUCAUGUUUGACAGGCCAUUUCAAUUGUCAAUUUAUAAUCAAGUCGAAUGUACAACAAUAUACAUGAUCACAAAGAAAAAGAAGAUUCAUGAUUGCAUGAGCUUGAGGAAGCCAAAGCUCCUGUUCCCAGCCUUGUGCUUCAGCAUCAUUGACAAACAGAGAAUUUAGCAGCUUCAGA